rnacentral:rRNA from 1 species
CCUACGGGCGACAGCAGUGAGGAAUAUUGGUCAAUGGACGCGACUCUGAACCAGCCAAGUAGCGUGAAGGAUGACUGCCCUAUGGGUUGUAAACUUCUUUUAUGAGGGAAUAAACCGAGGCACGUGUGCAUUAUUGCAUGUACUUUAUGAAUAAGGAUCGGCUAAUUCCGUGCCAGCAGCCGCGGUAAUACGGAGGAUCCGAGCGUUAUCCGGAUUUAUUGGGUUUAAAGGGAGCGUAGAUGGGUUGUUAAGUCAGUUGUGAAAGUUUGCGGCUCAACCGUAAAAUUGCAAUGGAAACUGGCAGUCUUGAGUACAGUUGAGGUAGGCGGAAUUCGUGGUGUAGCGGUGAAAUGCUUAGAUAUCACGAAGAACCCCGAUUGCGAAGGCAGCUUACUAAACUGUGACUGACAUUGAUGCUCGAAAGUGUGGGUAUCAAACAGGAUUAGAUACCCCAGUAGUC